UCCAAAGAGGCCAAACAAAUAGCUUAUCUACUAGUUAUGUUGUUCAGUCGAAUGAAUAUUAUGGUCCCCUGUUCUAAGACUGACAGCUUCAAUCUGUUCGAGUGUCUCUACUACUUCUUUCAUUGAUGGUCGAAGAAGGGGUUCAGGCCGAAGACAUUUAACUGCAAGAUAAGCUAUUUGUUUGGCCUCUUUGGAAGGAUAUUUUCCCUCCAACCGAGAGUCCAUUAUAUUUUUCAAACCUUUCCUCUUGGUCAGAUGUGGUUUAACCCAAUCAACUAGCACACGUUGCCCAGACGGACGCUUUCUAUCAAAUGCCCGUAAGCCUGUCAGCAUCUCAACCAAAACAACGCCAAAACUGUAUACAUCACUCUUUACAAACA
rnacentral:misc_RNA from 1 species